rnacentral:rRNA from 1 species
AACGAACGCUGGCGGCAGGCCUAACACAUGCAAGUCGAGCGAACCUUCGGGUUAGCGGCGGACGGGUGAGUAACGCGUGGGAAUAUGCCUCUUGGUACGGAAUAGCCUCGGGAAACUAGGAGUAAUACCGUAUGUGCCCUUUGGGGGAAAGAUUUAUCGCCAAGAGAUUAGCCCGCGUUGGAUUAGGUAGGUGGUGGGGUAAUGGCCUACCAAGCCGACGAUCCGUAGCUGGUUUGAGAGGAUGAUCAGCCACACUGGGACUGAGACACGGUCCAGACUCCUACGGGAGGCAGCAGUGGGGAAUCUUAGACAAUGGGGGCAACCCUGAUCUAGCCAUGCCGCGUGAGUGAUGAAGGCCUUAGGGUUGUAAAGCUCUUUCAGCUGGGAAGAUAAUGACGGUACCAGCAGAAGAAGCCCCGGCUAACUACGUGCCAGCAGCCGCAGUAAGAC